AAGAAACCCAAACCCAAACCCAAACCCAAACCCGUCUUUGGGAUCUGAUUUGGCGGUGAUCUGUUUUCAUCACUGUGAUCUGUUUUCCCUACCUCAACCAUAGCGAUUUGCUUCCCCAAAGCCCUCACCAGUGGCCAUAGAUUCUCGUCGCUGAGAAGCUCCGACAGCCGUAACAACUUCCCUUUCUUUUAAUCGUUUCUUCCUUUAACGAUUUCGACUCCGACAGCCCAAUCUACUCAGAUGGCAUCAUCAUCAUCGUCUCGGCGGUCGAUAGAUAUGGGGAGAAGGAACAGAGGAGGACCGGUUAUCGUGAGAUGUACAGAAAAUCCACAGCCUCCUAUAUAUGACAAAUAUUUCUGUUUAUCCACCGCUGAGUUUGACGAUUCUUACAACAUCAAAGAAUGGUACAUGCUCAAUCUAUCUAGCAAUAAUAAUAAUGAGAAGGAGAAACCAGCAGGUUUUGCAGUCUCAGGUGGUUGUCGGCAGUCACAGGUGUGUCCAGUCAGGCGUGGGGUUUUCAAGAGUUUGGGGGCUCAAGAGCUGUUUGGGUCAGGUGUAGGGCACUCGAGGCUGGCGUGGGUUCUAGUUGUGUAUCGGUGUUAUAGGUAGGUUGAUUGCUAUUUUGAUGUCAAGGAGGAAUUUUAUGUAGAGGGAGCCACAUAUACACCAUGCAUGUUUUUGGUGAAUGUUUGUGCACUGGUAAUCAAGAAAUAUCUUUUUAUCUUGAAGAAGUUUACGUAUGAUUUUUUUUUUCCUUCCCUUUUAUCACCUGAUGCAAGUUCUUCCCAAUUCCCAAGAAAAAACAAUGUAUUGGCUGUAUGGUUAGUUAUUGACUUGCUGUUUCCUUGUUAAGUUAGAUUAUUAUAGUUGGCUUGUGGAUCGGUAGCUAUUUCAUUUGGUUUAUCAUAGUUAUUUUCUACAUCCAUUGAGUUAGGUAUAGAAUUGUAAUAUA